AGCGAACGCUGGCGGCAUGCCUAACACAUGCAAGUCGAACGAGACCUUCGGGUCUAGUGGCGCACGGGUGCGUAACGCGUGGGAACCUGCCCUUAGGUUCGGAAUAACUCCCCGAAAGGGGUGCUAAUACCGGAUAAUGUCUUCGGACCAAAGAUUUAUCGCCUUUGGAUGGGCCCGCGUUGGAUUAGCUAGUUGGUAGGGUAAAAGCCUACCAAGGCGACGAUGCAUAGCUGGUCUGAGAGGAUGAUCAGCCACACUGGGACUGAGACACGGCCCAGACUCCUACGGAAGGCAGCAGUGGGGAAUAUUGGACAAUGGGCGAAAACCUGAUCCAGCAAUGCCGCGUGAGUGAUGAAGGCCUUAGGGUUGUAAAGCUCUUUUACCCGGGAUGAUAAUGACAGUACCGGGAGAAUAAGCUCCGGCUAACUCCGUG
rnacentral:rRNA from 1 species